rnacentral:lncRNA from 1 species
GGUGAUUCAAGAUUCAAGAUUGCAACAACUGACAGCACAAAGUUGGCAACGAGGAAAGAAAUGAAACUAGAGUUUUACCUUCUGUAUAUGACCGUCUUGAACAAUGGAAUUGCUUAAUCUCUUAUACAGCUCGUACAAAGACUCCACUUCAUUCACAUUAUAUUAGGAAAAGGAAACUUUUCUUCUCCCUCAAUUUCCCGCCAAGACAAUACGCACCGCUUCACUAAUCUACUGAAACGAGGAAGAGCGUUGCUAGCUACACGACGCCGUUCCGACCAAAUGGAUAACAACCUCGCAGCUGGCAAUCCAGCUCCUGAGAAUUCAGUAACAACAUUUCCAGACCUGCAAACAUUUCCAGACCUGCAAUGUUUGCAGAGAUUUUGAUUCUCCUUGUCUUGUCAUUUUCCUUCUCGUCGAUUGUAUAAACUUGAGCUUGAUCAAUGAAUGAGAACAUAGAUUGAAAACAAUAUUCUACCAACUAAAUAAUAAAGACGAACCGGGAAGAUCCCAAGGCUCCCAUCUGCAGACGUCGAUUUCAGGAACGGCGUCGACUUCGGAAUAGCGGCCGUGCAGUAGAAGCAUGGGAAAGUUUAAAAAAUAGAUAUGGACAAGGAGAUGUAAUUCGUAUAGCUGAGAUUCAGGAGGAACUCUCCAACCUCAAGCAAGGAAAUCAAUCAAUAACUGAAUAUCAUGGCUGUAUAAUCACUCUACGUGAUGAACUAAGGAAUUAUCAACCACUUAUGCGCUGUGACUGCACUCCUGCAAGUCAUCUGGAUUGCAGGGCUGUCAAGCUAAUGGAGGAAUAUGAAGAAACCAACGCAGUAAUACACUUCCUGCGUGGUUUGAAUGAAAAUUUUGCUGGACCAAGGACUCAAGUCCUCUUUGGAGACAAAUUGCCUAGCCUGGAAAGGGUUGUGCAACGCAUGGUGCAGCAUGAGCGACAGUUGUUUGGAACACAAGGCAAAGCAAGUCCAGAUGGGAUUGCAAUGGCCAUCCAAAAGCAAGGACAAAACUCGAUGGUGAACUUUGCAGCUCACCAGCAUAACUCGAAUCAAUCUUAUGGUUCAGGAGGAAAACCUAAACUGUACUGCACCUUUUGCAAAAUGACCAAUCACACAGAGGACAGAUGUUACUUCAAAAAUGGCUUUCCACCUGGGAUGGAACCAAGGAUGCAUCCUGGAUCUUCAAACUUUAAGCAAAGGAAUCCAAAUGCAAAGUUCAGACCUAGAGCUAAUGCAGCUUAUAGCUCAGAGGGAAAUGGCGUCCAAAUGUCACAAGACCAGUUCAAUCAACUGAUGGCGAUGAUGGAAGUUAAAAACAAGAAUGCAAGUCAUCCUGAUGCAUCCACAGGUGCUCAUUCUGUAGCUGCUUUCACUCAACAACCCCCAGGCAAGUCUAUUGAGGUUUUAAGUAUGCAGGCAUUAAAAUCAAAGGAUCAUGAAAAAUGGAUCCUGGACACAGGUGCUUCAGAUCACGUUACAUGUCUUUUAAGCAAUUUCAGCACCUUUAAUGAAGUUGAUAAUGUAAUUAUCAAUCUUCCAACGGGGCACCAGGUCCAUGCUACACACAUUGGUUCAGUAAUCCUCUCAGCUCAGCUGACGUUGAAUGAUGUUCUAUAUGUUCCAGAUUUCAAUUUUAACUUGAUCUCUGUCAGUAAACUUGCUGCAAAUCAAGCCUUAUGUCUUACCUUUGCUUCUGAUUCUUGCUUGAUACAGGACAAGCACAGGAAGAUUACGAUUGGUUCUGCUAAGCUGCAUCAAGGAUUAUACCACAUGUCACCUGCUAUCCUAGUUAGUCAAGCUACCUCUACUACUACUACUCCUACUGAUGUUUUUGAUUUAUGGCAUCAUCGUUUAGGCCAUGUCUCUCACAGUAGGAUACCCUAUCUACAUACCCUCGAUCCAACCAUUCAUACUCACCCACAUCUCCCUUGCGACGUCUGCCAUUAUGCUAAACAACGUAGGCUAGUCUUUCCUUCUAGCACUUCCACCACACCAUGCCCCUUUGACCUGCUGCAUGUGGAUAUCUGGGGACCAACUGGACAUCCUUCUUAUGAUGGUUUUCGUUAUUUUCUUACCAUUGUAGAUGAUCACAGUCGACAUACAUGGAUUCAACUAAUGAAAUUAAAGUCAGAAGCUCGACCCCUUUUACAGAAUUUCUGCAUUUUUGUUCACACUCAAUACAAAGCACACGUUAAAGCUAUUCGUAGUGACCAAGGAAAAGAAUUCGACAUGCCUAUCUUUUAUCAUGAAAAGGGAAUCCUUCAUCACACCACUUGUGUUGAAACCCCUCAACAAAACAGCAAAGUCGAGCGUAAACACCAACAUAUCCUCAAUAUUGCUAGAGCUCUCACUUUCCAAGCUAAACUUCCCAUAGGAUUCUGGGGAGAUUGUGUCAAGCAUGCUGUAUACUUGAUCAAUCGCACACCUACUGCUGUCCUCAACAACAAAACACCCUAUGAAAUGUUAAAUAAUAAACCUCCUUCCCUAGCCAACGUUCGUGUCUUUGGAAGCCUUUGUUAUGCCUCUACCCUAGCUGGUCACAGAACAAAAUUCGAAAAACGAGCCAGGAAAUGUUUGCACCUGGGAUUCACAGAAGGAAUCAAAGGAUACAAGCUGUAUGACUUGCAUACACACCAGGUCUUUACCUCUAGAGAUGUAAUCUUCUAUGAAAGCAUAUUCCCCUAUGACAAACCAAGCAACACUAUACCAGAACAAUCCACACAGAUCACACCUCCAAUUACUAAUUUCGAUUUAGAUCACACACCAAACCAAACCAACUCUGAAGCAUCCAUUUCCUCCCAGCAACAUGAUGCCACCUUAAGUCCUGACCAACCAGAAACCUCAGAUGAAACUCAUCAUGAUGAAUCAAUCCAAGACGACAUACAAGACCAACCCAUAGAACAACCAGAAGUUCUUAGAAGAACCACUAGACACCACAAACCACCAAAUUAUUUGCAGGAUUUUCAUUGUGACCUCCUAAUGCAGAGCAGCAGAACCAAUCAGAUCUCCAACGCAAGUCCUGAGAAUGCAAAGAAAUCAGUAAGCCAUCCUCUCUCACAUGUUCUGAGUUAUGAUUUGCUCCACGAUGAUCACAAAAAGUUUGUUCUAAGCAUUUCCAGUAUGAAGGAACCACAAAGUUACGCAGAAGCAACACAGUUGGAAAUCUGGAGAGCAGCAAUGAAGGCUGAACUUGAAGCUUUAUGCUUAAACAAAACAUGGAGCAUUGUGUCACUACCUUAUGGAGUGAAAGCGAUAGGAUGCAAAUGGGUAUACAGAAUAAAGUACAAAUCCGAUGGGAGCAUUGAAAGGUAUAAGGCAAGGUUGGUGGCAAAGGGCUACACCCAAACUGAAGGGCUUGAUUACCAAGAAACCUUUGCACCUGUAGUGAAAAUGACGACCAUCAGAACGUUCCUUGCCUUGGCCUCAAUAAAAAAGUGGCAUCUACACCAACUGGAUAUCAACAACGCCUUCUUACAUGGUGACUUAGAGGAGGAUGUGUAUAUGAAACUACCAAUGGGGAUGGAGCAGGGACUGCCUAAAAAUGCAGUCUGCAAACUACAUAAGUCGCUUUAUGGUCUGAAGCAAGCCUCGAGACAAUGGUUUUCCAAGUUGUCAGAGAAAUUACAAGCACAAGGUUUUGUUCAAAGCAAAGUCGACUACUCAUUAUUCAUCAAGAACAAAGAAGGAUCAUUCACAGCAGCAUUGGUGUACGUUGAUGAUCUUAUCAUUGGUGGAAAUGAUCCCAAGGAGAUCGUUGCAUUAAAGAUGUUCCUUCAUGAAGAGUUCAAAAUCAAAGACUUAGGUCAUUUGAAGUUCUUUCUGGGUUUGGAAGUUGGCAGGAAUCCAGAGGGAAUUCACUUGUCCCAACGCAAGUAUACCUUGGAAAUUUUGGAAGAGGCUGGAUUACUCAAUGCCAAACCAGCAAACACACCAAUGAAUUACAAACAGCAUCUUACUGCUGAGGGUUCGGAUGAUUACAAUGAGCCUGAGCAUUACAGAAGGUUAGUUGGGAAAUUAAUUUAUCUAACUACAACUAGGGCAGACAUUAGCUUUGCUGCACAACAGGUCAGCCAAUUUAUGACUAGUCCCAGAGUGGAUCAUUUCAAAGCAGUGACAAGAAUCCUGCGAUAUCUCAAGGGAGCCCCUGCUUCUGGUCUCUUCUUCCCAAGCACCUCCAGUAUUCAACUAAAGGCUUUCAGCGACUCAGACUGGGCAGCCUGUCCAGACAGCAGACGAUCAAUCACAGGUUACUCCAUUUUCCUUGGAACCUCCCUUAUAUCCUGGAAAAGUAAGAAACAAAGCACAGUGUCAAGAUCAUCCUGUGAAGCAGAAUAUAGAGCCUUAGCUCACACUACUUGUGAAUUGCAAUGGCUACUAUAUCUGCUAAAAGAUCUUGGAAUUGAUCAUCCUAUGCCAGCAUUGAUCUACUGCGACAAUCAAUCAGCAAUACAUUAACUAAAUAAUACAUUAACUGUUCAAAAAAAUAAAAAUGUACUAAAGGUCCUUGCGACCAUUUCAUCGAACAGUUGGACGGCGUCAAUCUGAAAAACAGGAACUUACAAGGUGUUCUGGCGGCGAGACGUCUAAGGGUGGCCAGGCGAGGUUCAUCCUGAGCUGCUGUCUUGGAGGAAGUGCAACCCAUCUCUCCAAUUCCAGUUCCGAUGAAGCAACUGAUUCUCCGGUUCUUGUUCUUCUGAGUUUCUGUGACUUUGUAUGAAGGGAUUUGGUUGCCGAUUUUGUUAGGUCGUUGACAUAUCUUCAGCUGACGUAUUGACAGGGGAAGAGAAAGACAAGAAAAAAGCAAAAGAGGGGCAAAGUGAUGGUCUUGUGAACCAUAAUUUUGGAACUAUUUUGGAGACCGAAUCAGUCAGACCAGUCUUUCGUGAUUCAAUUGUUCUAACCAUGAAAAUUUAGAGAUCAUACAAGUAAUAUAUAAAGAUUAUAUACCAAAUAUAUCGACUUUGUAAUAAAAUUUAUUGCAUAAUGGUGUGACAUAGCACUAUUUGGGUAAGAACGAAACAUCAUUAGAUGCCGUUAGAUAGAGAUAAGAUGAUUGUUCAUAAUAAAGAGGGUAUGAUCAUAAAAUACAUAUCCAAAUUAGUUUUCGAGUUAUAAAUUCUAGGUCCUUCCAUUCUACCAUUUGACGCCGAUGCUCCUUCUUUCGAGCCAAUUGCCUAAUCCGCUAGACGCAUUACUCCGAUCUCUUUUUCCUUCACUGCUCGCCGACCCCUAUUCCGCCGCUGUCUGCCUCCUCUACAGACCACAAGCCCCCAUCCACC